AAAGUACUCCCUCCGUCCCAAAAUUCUUGUCUUAGAUUUGUCUAGAUACGGAUGUAUCAAGUCACAUUUUAGUAUUAGAUACAUCCGUAUGUAGACAAAUCUAAGACAAGAAAUUUCGUACAGAGGGAGUAGUUG
rfam:Triticum aestivum genome assembly, contig: Triticum_aestivum_CS42_TGACv1_scaffold_580546_7BL